GACGAACGCUGGCGGCGUGCUUAACACAUGCAAGUCGAACGGAAAGGCCCUGCUUUUGUGGGGUGCUCGAGUGGCGAACGGGUGAGUAACACGUGAGUAACCUGCCCUUGACUUUGGGAUAACUUCAGGAAACUGGGGCUAAUACCGGAUAGGAGCUCCUGCUGCAUGGUGGGGGUUGGAAGGUUUAGGCGGUUGGGGCUGGACUCGCGGCUUAUCAGCGUGUUGGUGGGGUAGUGGCUUACCAAGGCUUUGACGGGUAGCCGGCCUGAGAGGGUGACCGGCCACAUUGGGACUGCGAUACGGCCCAGACUCCUACGGGAGGCAGCAGUGGGGAAUAUUGCACAAUGGGCGGAAGCCUGAUGCAGCAACGCCGCGUGCGGGAUGAAGGCCUUCGGGUUGUAAACCGCUUUCGCCUGUGACGAAGCGUGAGUGACGGUAAUGGGUAAAGAAGCACCGGCUAACUACGUG
rnacentral:rRNA from 1 species